AUAAAAACACUUUUUAAAUCAUUGCAAAAGGCAACAUUCAUAUUUUUUAUGCAUUUUUAUUUUUGGGAAGGGGGGGGGUUUGGGGGGGCCGGGGCCGGAGGUGCAAGGAUUCAAAAAUGAUUUUCGUUUGUCAAUAUCAACAUUACAGGAUGGCUUACAUGUUUCGUGGAUUGGUAGUUGGUAGCCCACAAGUCAAUAAUGAAUAACAAAAAUGACAAAACUGAACAAAACUCACCAAGCUGUUUUAAUUAUUGUGAAUGUGAUGCAAUUGGUUUGUGCUGCUGUGCACGUGCAUUCAUAUUCAUCAAGGUACAAGGCAUUAUAAUCAAAG
rnacentral:misc_RNA from 1 species